rnacentral:rRNA from 1 species
GAUGAACGCUGGCGGCGUGCCUAAUACAUGCAAGUCGAGCGAACGGACGAGAAUCUUGCUUUUCUGAUGUUAGCGGCGGACGGGUGAGUAACACGUGGAUAACCUACCUAUAAGACUGGGAUAACUUCGGGAAACCGGAGCUAAUACCGGAUAAUAUUUUGAACCGCAUGGUUCAAAAGUGAAAGACGGUCUUGCUGUCACUUAUAGAUGGAUCCGCGCUGCAUUAGCUAGUUGGUAAGGUAACGGCUUACCAAGGCAACGAUGCAUAGCCGACCUGAGAGGGUGAUAGGCCACCCUGGAACUGAGACACGGUCCAGACUCCUACGGGAGGCAGCAGUAGGGAAUCUUCCGCAAUGGGCGAAAGCAUGACGGAGCAACGCCGCGUGAGUGAUGAAGGUCUUCGGAUCGUAAAACUCUGUUAUUAGGGAGGAACAUAUGUGUAAGUAACUGUGCACAUCUUGACGGUACCUAAUCAGAAAGCCACGGCUAACUACGUG